GAUCAGCAAGGAAGAAGGAACAGCACGGAUGGAGCCCUUGGAAGGUCACAGAGAACAUUCAGCACCUUCCACGAGGAACUGGCCCCCAAAGGAGCAUUUUAACCCCCAGAAUGGGCAAUUUCCAAGCUCAGCAAAGUUCUGUCGUUUCACUGAAAUUCUCCCUCACUUUGGCACUUGCCAAUCCCUUGGAACUGGACAAAAGUUCCACCAUCUUUUUCCACCUCCGUUGGAUGUUGCAGCCACUUGUCCCCCUGA